CAAAAUCAACAGACCAGUGAUUCUAUGAUGUCUAGGCAAAUGCGCAUGAUUCCAUUCAUCUCAGGUGGGAAACACUGGCCUAAAAUGACCUUCUAUCCGGAGACCACAGAUCCCCAUUCAGCCCCCUGAACCCAACUUCAAACAUUCAGCUCAUGAGCUGGGAAAUCAGGUCAUCCAACUUUCCAUCUUCUGGGGGCUCCUUGGAAGCACUGAACAGUGGAGGUCCUUUGUGACCUGUCCACUGGGGAACUCCAUUGUCCAGAUCCUGAUGUCAUUAGGAAGGCUCCAUGUUGCUACCAGCAUGAUAACCAUCUCAUCUAGCUGUCCCUAUUCUAUGUAAACCAGCUCGGUGCCGACAGGUGGUUUUGUUCUAUGAGGCUAUUCACACCCACCAGGCUUCCCCAACACCAGGGCAGCCGAGAGAACACCGAGGCUCAAGUCCUCAGGCCGGAGACCUGCGCUCCUCGUUCACGCUUCCCUGCUGCGUCCUCCAUCUGCAUUUUGAAUGAUACUGUACAACUCCUGCUGGGAAAACAUGGAAUGAAUCACAACGGGUGUGAAAGAGAAGAGACGCUGUUACCUGAAAGCUUUCUACGCUUAAGAUUUUUUAAAUACGUGAAGCAAGAGAAACUCUUUUUAUUCUGCUUCGCUCAUUUUAGUGUGGAAUUCUCACUCACCGUGUGUAGCGGCAUAAGCGGGGGCAGCAGUGAAGACGGCCAGCUCGUGAUGCUGCCCAAAUACCAUUCUUACACGACUCCCCCACUGGCCAGAGUGGGGAGGACUGGAGAUGAGAGGGAGCCCCUCCGACAGGCCCGCUGCAUUCCCACGCACGGGAGCUGUCUAGUCGAGAGGACAGAGACAGAACCAGAGCCCCCAGCUUGAAACGGAAUGACAAAAUAGUGCCUCUCUUGUUUUCUCCUCCUUGUUAUCUGAGCUACUGGUCCCAGACCUGCAGCAUCCUCAGCCUUGGCUCCAGACACUCGAGCCGGAGAUUUAUUUAGAGAAAGAAAGCAGACACAGAGCUGUGGGUCAGGGUUCAGCCCACCCCAUCCAGGUAGCUGGGUUCUCAAACCCUGGACCUACUGCUUGUUAGCUCUGCGAGCCAAACCAAGGUCCUUAAAAUCUCCAAGCCUCAGUUGAGAGAAAACACAUCUGUGAAAUGGGCAUAAUGACGGCACCUCCAGGACAGGGCUGCUGCGAGGACUGAGGCAGAUACUGCGUGGGCAGCGUUAGCUGUUCCUGCCACAGGGCAAGUGCUCAAGAGUGUCAGCAAUGAAUGAAGGAAGAGGAAAGAAAGAAAAGGCAAUCGUCCCCCUGUUAGCAACCUGAGCUGAUUCCUCUUCUGAGACUGGAAAUGCCUAAUGAGCCGGGUUCUGAGCUCUGCUCAGAGGAGCAACAGUAAGCCUGACUUAAGUGGCUAUUCUUGGCUCCACCAAAAAAGAACUGGAAAGAAAAUGACCUGAUUUUGCAGCAAGGGAUACUGAGAUUAAGCCAAGGGAAGGUGCUAUGGACUGAACUGGGUCCCCGCCAAAUGCCCACAUGGAAGCCUUCCCCCCCAGGGUGGUGGCACUGGAGAGGGGGCCUUCGGGAGCGAUUAGGUUCAGAUGAGGUCAUGGGGGGUGGUCCUGCUUUAGUCCCUCUGGACUGCUAUAACAAAAAUAACACAGACAGCGUGGCUUAAACAGCAGAAAUGUAUUUAUCGCAGUUCUGGAGGCUGGAAGUGUGAGAUGAGGGUGCCAACAGACUCAGCAUCUGGUGAGAGCCCGCUUCCGGCUUCUCCUCGCAUCCUUCCAUGGCGGCGAGCAGACGGAAAGCAGCUCUCUCAUGUCUCCUCAUGAGCAGACGGAGCGCACCACGGGGGCUCAAUCUUCAUGCUCUAAUUAACUCCCAAAGGCCCCGCUCCAAAUCCCAUCACACUGGGGACCAGGGUUUCAGCAGAUGAAUGCUGGGGGACAUAAAGAUGCAGUCCGUAGCAAGCCCUCAUGAUGGAGCUCAACCACCCUGGAGCUCUGAUCUUGGACCUCCAGGCUCCAGACCUGUGGGAAAGUAAAUUUUGAUUGUUGAAGCCAGCCAGUCCAUGACUGCUUGAGCUGACUACAGACUAUUGCUGGUGAAUACUAAUACUAAUAUUGCUAACACUGCCUGGUAUAAAUCUGAGACCUUGAGAAAAACUACUGCCUGUAGAGGCUCUAGUGUUUGGGUGAUGAAGUCAAAGAGUCUGUGUUCGUGUCAGCUCGGCCCCUUCCUAAACCGCAUGAAGUCAGGCAGGUUACCGAGCUUUUCUCAGUCUCAACUACUUCAGCCAUAAAUAGAGAUGCUAAUGCUACCCAGCUCCCAGCAAGGUUGUGAAAAUUACAUGAGGUAAUACACGUAAAGUGCCCCGUGCCCAGUGAGCACGCAGGGCCAGCCUGGGGAUACAGGACACCUAUCAGAGAGGAAGGCAGCCGGAGCCCAUGGCUCUAUGGAGCUGGCCUUUGGUGGGCUGUUCCAUUCUAAUCUUCCAUCGGCAGAAGAAGUCCUGGAACCUCUGGAUUUCAGAGUCAUUGGAGGCUCCUGAUAAGCUCAUCUCUGGAAAGAAUCUGGUCGUUGGACAGAGCGCCCUGAAGUUGAAUCCCAGCUCUGCCGUCUGUUAGCUCAGAGCGUCAUCCCUCAGCGCUGCCCCGCCCCCUUCAGCCGCCUGGAGUUAACGCCUCUCUUCGAGGGUCCCACGUCGUCCCCCUUAUCUGCAGCGGAUACAUUACAAGACUCCCAGUGGAUGCCUGAAACCACGGAGCUCACACUCCAGCAGGAGAAGCCAAGGUGUGAAAAGAUGCAGGUGGAGGGAGGAAGUGGAGAAAGUGGUCAGGAGGCUGGGAGAUGACCUGCCAAAAGCCACCUGAGAGCUACUGGGUCCUCCUCCUCAACUGUCAACCUGAGCUUGGUGUGACCACGACGUCCUGAGCUCAUUGAGGACAGUGCUUCCUAAAGAGUUUUCCAGGUGUUCGCGGGGGUGAGAAUGGCACGCUGUGUGAGCCCAUCCUCCAGAGAAAGAGCACCAGUGGGGGCUGCGUGGAUCCACAGAAACAGAUGGAUGAGGAGGGGCUGGCUCGCGAGACUGUGGAGGCUGAGAAGGCCCACAGUGUGCCAUCUGCAAACCAGAGGCCCAGCAAAGUUGGCGGUGCAGCUCCAGUCCACGCCCGAGGCCUGAGAAGCAGGACACCAGUGUUUGCGGGCAGGAGAACACGGAGGUCCCAGCCCAGCGGGGAGCCAAUUCAUCCCUCCUCCACCUUUGUUCUAUUUGAGCCCCCAUGGAUUGGCGACGUCCUCCUACACUGGGGUCACCUCCUUCAGGAAGCCUUCCUGGAUCAGAAUGCAUCUGGGUGGAGAGCCCUUUGUCUGCAUUCGCACAGUGCCCUGCCCUUCCCUGCCCAGCCUGGACCGUGUCUGGACAUUAAUGCACCAAACUCAAGUUGUGGUUUCGUGUCUGUGUCUGGAGGCUGUGAGCUCCCUGAGGAAUCCAAGAAGGUGUGUGAGAAGGAAGCCUGGAGCUGGCAAGAGAAGGCGUGCUGGCUCUCUUCUCUCCACUCACAAGCUGCUGGAGCCGACACCUUCACCUGUGGGGAAGAAGGGAUCCCUGCCCUCCUUGGGAUGCCUAUGGUGUCCCACAGAAACGUCUGCAGGCACGUUCUCAAAGGACUGCAGUCCUUUCCAGGUUCUUUUGCUUCUAAAUCUCGGAGCCAGGGGGUGAUGAAGUCCUCGCGGGUGGAGGAGUCGGCAGAGGUCCUGCGGCUCGAGAGAAAUCCCGUCGUGCCUAGAAGCCACGUGUCCUGCCUUCGUGUCCGGAAGCCGGUCCUCCCUGUCACAGAUGUAAUCAAGUUAAGACGAGGUCACGCUGGAUUGGGGUGUCCAAUGGCUGCUGUCCUUUUAAGGAGAGAGAUAUUUGGGGACAAAGCUACACAGUGGGAUGGAGGCAGAGAUUGGAAUAAUGUAGCUACAAGCCAACGAGCACCAAGAAUUGCUGCGAACCACAAAAGCCAGGGUGCGGCGAGGAUGGCUUCUUUCUCUAGAAGACUGACUGUAGGGUUCUCCGCCAGAGUCCUCGCAGGGAGCAUGGCCCUGCCUACACCUCAGUCUCCAGAACUGGG
rnacentral:lncRNA from 1 species